CAUAACACCGAACAUUUCUCUUUCCAGGUCAGAAGGAAAAUAUCAAAGGAGAAAAGAACGUUACGGCGACUCAAGUUUAUCAAAACGCGGCAAAUUGCGACAUGGUCGAAAAUGAGUUGUAUAGACGGUCACGUGAUAUCUUCCCUACCAACGAAGCUGAAAAUCAGG